rnacentral:rRNA from 1 species
UGAGGAAUAUUGGUCAAUGGGCGGGAGCCCGAACGAGCAAUGCCGCGUGUGUGAAGAAGGUCUUCGGAUCGUAAAGCACUGUUGUAAGUGAAGAAUGCCAUAUAGAGGAAAUGCUAUGUGGGUGACGGUAGCUUACCAGAAAGCCACGGCUAACUACGUGCCAGCAGCCGCGGUAAUACGUAGGUGGCAAGCGUUAUCCGGAAUCAUUGGGCGUAAAGGGUGCGUAGGUGGCACGAUAAGUCUGAAGUAAAAGGCAACAGCUCAACUGUUGUAUGCUUUGGAAACUGUCGAGCUAGAGUGCAGAAGAGGGCGAUGGAAUUCCAUGUGUAGCGGUAAAAUGCGUAGAUAUAUGGAGGAACACCAGUGGCGAAGGCGGUCGCCUGGUCUGUAACUGACACUGAUGCACGAAAGCGUGGGGAGCAAAUAGGAUUAGAUACC